UUGAUGGGAUCUCUUAUGGCCUGUAGGGGUGCCAUUGUGUUUGAUUUUUGAAGAUGAACCAUAAAAGGUUGACUAAACUCUGUUUUAAUCAUCGCAAUUAAAUUUGAAAUCAUGAACAUGUUUAGAUUAGAUCUAAAGUAUUUUUGUAAUUGAUUUAAUUGCUGAUUAUGCAUGAUUAACUAGAUCUGAAAUUUGGAUGCAUGUGAUGCAUGU
rnacentral:lncRNA from 1 species